rnacentral:tRNA from 2 species
UUUUUUGAAAGCAUUAUUGCAAUUGAUUGUAAAUCUUUAUUUGGAAAAUUUCCUCAAGAUAU